AAAUUUCAAACAUUCUCAGAUACCUAUAGCAAGGAAGACUCUGCCAAAACAGUCCAUCCAGAAAAAGUCACAGUCAUGAUGGAUUACAAUCGACGACUAGUUUAUUCUGCACGACAAGCCUAAGAUACAUCAGACAGCGACAGAUACAGACAGAAGCGGCAAAGAAGUUUGAUUACAACGCAAAAUUAAAACAACUCUUUUAUAGCUCGGAAAGAUGCAAGGCAGAUCUUAUAGCUCAGAAAGAUGAAAGGCUGAUCAAUGUAAAUCAGAGCCUCGUGCACGCAUCAUUCGCUUCCAGUGGCCAUCAAAAAUUCACCCUCGCAUACCAAAUCACCACCAACAUAUGCUUUCCCAUCCAUCUUCGCUAUCCCAAAGCGUUUUUGCAGUUUGAUCAGUGUCAUCCUCAUUACCAAGGUGUCCCCCGCGAUCACAGGUUUCCGAAACCUCACUUUGUCAAUCCCAGCA
rnacentral:lncRNA from 1 species